AUUGAACGCUGGCGGCAGGCCUAACACAUGCAAGUCGAACGGAGCGGCGGACGGGUGAGUAAUGCCUAGGAAUCUGCCUGGUAGUGGGGGAUAACGUCCGGAAACGGGCGCUAAUACCGCAUACUAUCAGAUGAGCCUAGGUCGGAUUAGCUAGUUGGUGGGGUAAAGGCCUACCAAGGCGACGAUCCGUAACUGGUCUGAGAGGAUGAUCAUUCACAAUGGAACUGGGACACGGGCCAGAAUCCUACGGGAGGCAGGCGGUGGGAAUAUUGGACAAUGGGCGGAAGCCUGAUCCAGCCAUGCCGGGUGUGUGAAGAAGGUAUUCGGAUUGUAAAGCACUUUAAGUUGGGAGGCGUUACCAACAGAAUAAGCACCGGCUAACUCCGUGCCAGCAGCCGCGGUAAAUC
rnacentral:rRNA from 1 species